rnacentral:rRNA from 1 species
CAAUAGCGUAUACUAAAGUUGUUGCAGUUAAAAGCUCGUAGUUGGAUUUCUGUGCGCCGGUUGUUGGGCCUGCUCUAUGAGGAGGCUCCUUCACCGUCGUACAUCCUGUUGGCAGACCCGCGCAGGGCAUUUAGUUGUCGGCGUGGGGAGACCACUCGUUUACUUUGAGGAAAUUAGAGUGUUCACUGCAGGCAUACGCCUUGAAUACGUUAGCAUGGAAUAAUAAGAUAGGACCUCGGUUCUAUUUUUUCGGUUUUCGUUAGAGCUGAGGUAAGUAGAUUAACUAAGGGAGUAGUUGGGGGGUCGGAUUCGUUAUUUAACUUAGUCAGAGGUGGAAAUUACUUUGGUAGUUUGUUUAAAGUAACGAACUAACUGCGAAAGACAUUUGUCCAA